GAUGAAGAACGUAGCGAAAUGCGAUAAGUAAUGCGAAUUGCAGAAUUUCCGUGAGUCAUCGAAUCUUUGAACGCACAUUGCGCCUCUCGGUAUUCCGGGAGGCACGCCUGUUCGAGCGCCAUUACACCCCCCAAGCUUGGCUUGAUGUUGGGCGACGUCCUCGUUUGCGAGGACCCGCCUGGAACGCGUGGGCGCCGCCGCCGGACCACGAGCGUAGCAAGACCAUCAAACGUCAUUCGCUCUGUAGGCUCCUGCGGACGGUCCGCCGAACCUCGAUCUUCGGAUCGAUCUUUCUAGUUUGGCCUCGGAUCAGGCGGGGAUACCCGCUGAACUUAAGCAUAUCAAUAAGCGGAGGA
rnacentral:misc_RNA from 1 species